GAGAAGCCGAGGGAUCAUCCAAGGCUGUGGUUAUGAUUUCCUCUUUCAGAGACAACCAUGCAUAAAGAGGAGUUGCAUCUGAAAUUUUUCAUGUGUGUGAUUCAGUCUCGCCAGUUAGUCAGGACUUCUCAGAGAACAGCUGGGGAAGCUUCAACUUGCUGCAUGCUCAUACAAAAGCCACCACCCAAGACAGAUGCCUUGAAGAGUCUAGAUACUAUGGAUGAUCCAGACACCGUGGAAGGCAUACCUAUUUUUAAAAAUGACCCCCUUUGCUCUGAUGACCCAUUUGGAACUGCUUCUGUGGUUUGAACUCAGCAUUAUCCCAUGGACAAAAUUUUGAUGUUCACCUUCUGCCUUUAAGCACUGAGUCCUCAGUUCCCCAUGUAAGGCGCUUGGAAGUCACACUCCAUGCUAACAGCAAGUAAUAGUAAAAAGACUGAAAAAC